CCCAUUCCCCCCACCCCCACCCCACCACUCCCCACUAUGAUUUAGCGGCUGGCAUCCGGCGAUGCGGGGGUGGCGCGACUGCCGUAGCUAGGCUGCGGGGAGGGCGGUUGCCAGCGAGCACCAGGCUGCGACCCAACAGGAUGGCGACGACUGCCGGCCGGCGAUGUGGGGGAUGGCGCGAGUGCGGUGUCUAGGCAUCGGGGAGGGCGGCAGCCGGCAGGCACCUGACUGCGGCCCAGCAGGAUGGCGGCGGCCGACAGAGGCCGCCCGUGAGCACGCGUCGUCGGGAAGCUCCACGGCAGCUCGUCCGCAUCUGGUUGUUCUGCAUCUCGGGCCGGUUCCGACGAGCAUGGAGCCACCACUGGCCCCUGCACCUCCAUGUCUCCAGCCACCCGCCGGUCGCCCUCCUCCUCAGCUCUGCUGCCGCCAGCGCUUGCGUCGUCGGAGCGAAGAGUGGGGGGUCCUUGGCUCGCCGGCGCCGCCCAACCACCACGGGCGCGAAGAUGGUGUACUGCUGCUCGAGAUAUGGACCCGUGGAGAGAAACGCGCUUCACCGGCCAUAUCCGAGGCUUCUCCUCUAAGUGCUACAUUGACGGUUUGCCUCCGGUACUGAAUCUUCAGCGGCAAGGAGUUUGAGUUCGUGGGGCUCGCGCUCAGCUCCGAUAUUAGGGAAAGGUACCAAUCGCUAUGGUUCAAAACAAAUGGUUGUGCCUGUUACCUAAUCAGAUCAGGCUCUGACUGAAGCUACUCCAGUAUGCCCCAUGUUGUGUUUACUCAACAUCACAACAAGUAUUUUGUCUAUGCAUCAUGACAUUUUCUGUUUUUUAUACACAAAUUUGCCAUGUUUUUUUUAUGCUUUUUGCCAUGACACAGAGAUCAUUUUCACUAAAAAUUUCCAUAUCACUAGCCCCUAUCAUAGUCAUAAGUUCCACACUGUAGGCAAUUGUAGAUUAAGAAGGGUUGGCAAAUAAUUGAACAAGCAUAUCUAUGUUUCAUAAAACAUGGCAACUUUUGAAUCUCUAAUUCCUACCCUUUCGUUUUAGUAAGACCAUUUGCCAUGGCAAACUUUCAUCAAUUGACAUGGCAAAUUUACAAUUUUCAUUACCUACCAUUUUCUGGUUUUAGUAAAUAGUUGCCAUGGAAAUUAUUGAAAUGAAUUUGAUACGAAUUUCCAUACACCAUGGCAAAUUUCAUACAAAGGAUGGCAUUUUCAAUUAAAACACCAUGGCAAAUUUACAUAUCCAUUUGCCAUGGAAAUUUGUUCAUAAUUAUUGUGUUAAUUUACAUACUCGGUAAUUUUCUCAUUCAAAACCAUGGCAUUUUUAAUUGGAAUACCAUGUCAAAAUUUAAUACAAAUCUGCCAUGGAAACUAGAAGCUUAUGCUGCCAUGUUUGUUUUGCUAAUUUAGUACAUGUUUUUUUAAUAGAAGCUUUGUAGGUGUGUGCCAUGGCAAGUUGAAGCUUAGGUUUCCAUGACGACAACAUUUGUGUUGUGUCUUUUUUGCCCUAUCUAUCUGAAGAGUGUUUCCAUGGCAAUUACAUUUUUUGUUUGAGAACAUGGCAACUUUGAUCUUCUAACUUGACAAAUAUGCCAUCUUCAAAACAUGACGCUUCUUUUCUUUUGAAAACAUGGCACCAUGGCAACUUUGCCAUGUUCAGAAACAUGGUAAACAUUGCUCUAUAUGACAACAUUCAUGUGAUUUGCCAUGGCACUUCUUUAUCUGAAAACAUGACAAACUUGCCAUGUUCAAAAAGUUGCCAUGGCAACUUUUCUUUUAAUGACAUGUCAAAUUUUACUUAAUUUUUUGACAUGGCAAAUUUAUUGUAUAUAUCAUGGCAAUUUUAAUUUAAACUAGUGAGCUUGCACGUGCAAUGCACGUUUUGGUAGAAAUUCAUUAGAAAAUAAUAUUUAAAUAUGAAACUUACUUCCUCCGUCCCAUAAUGUAAGACGUUUUUUGGCACCAGUGUAGUGUCAAAAAACAUCUUACAUUAUGGGACGGAGGGAGUACAUUUUUAGUUUACAUAUAGCGAUAUCUUACAUGAGCAAUGGUUUACCGUACAUUUCACAUACUCUAUGAAUUUAAAUCUUGAUGUAAUAUGUACUUGACAAACUUUCCUAAAGCAUAUUGAAAUUAAAUCCGCCACCGGAAUUCACCAAUCAAGAAUCUUAAUGAACACCCGAAACAUUUCUUCCUAACCUAGAAAAAUACCUAUUCCAAUCCAGACACCUAUAUGGGGCCUAUCAGAUCAUCGCAAUGAAAAAAAUCAGAUAGGUAAGUUAAAAUUAAUCAUAAUAUAUUUCUCACAAUAUUACGACAUCUACAGUUCACCAUCAUUUAGCUGCUGAGACCUUCGCCGGUGUUGCCCAAAAAACACCCUCAUAGCUCAAUGUUCUCCUUGACAACAAUCUGCGGGCCUAAUCCUCUUUUUCUGCAUCUUUUAGCUCAUAUCGUUCCUUCCUUCCAGGCUACAUGUUAUUUCUAAUCAUAAUCUGCAAUUAUAAAACAAAUAAUGUAAGCUCACAUACAUUCUAUAGCAUAUAUAUUUCAAUUGCAGCUUCAUACACAAGGAAUAUAGUAAGCAUGCACAAGCAAUGCACGCCUCGACUGAUGUUACAACCAGAUAUGCAAAUUCUAAAGAUAUUAUGAUUACACUAAAAAUAUGACAAUCAACCUAUAAUUUGAAUGAUUUUCACGCAACACUACAAUUUAGCAUCAUAUCAUGGAGUGAAGACACCUGAUUACCUUAGUAUGUCUUAAUACACUAACCAGUUCUUGUACAACAUAAGGGGUGCAUGUUGUAUGCAGCUUCAUUCUUAGUGUAGUUGAUUAGAUGCACCAAAAUUCUUAUGUCACAACUAUACUUUAUGAGAACCACAUGUCAUUAUCUUGAGAGUUUUCAUGAGGUAGAAUAAAAAAAAUGAAAUAUUAAAUAUUCACCCUGCAAAUUGGUUGGUUCAAUUCUUUCUCGUUCCAUGAGUGCACAAACCAAAAAGCAAAAUAACCAGAUAGACAUACUACGUACAUUGGAAACCAAUUAAAAUCAUUCAGUGUUGAUUGCAUGCUUGUUUGUCUAUGGAACAUCUGUCUUGAAAGCAAUUCAGUGACAAUUGUUCUUCAUAAAAUCAACAGUUUGCUCGCUCCUUGUCUCAAGAGACAAAAAUGAAACCAAAUAUAUCUUUAGAUAAGUAAAUAUAGAAAUUUCAUCUAAAAAUAUAAUAUAAAACCAAUGUCAGCCAUAUGAGAGUUCCAUUUUGAUUCCUACAACCUCAUCUGAAAUCUCAACAAAUUAAAGUACAUUUAUGCAUAUUCAUCAAUGACAAAAUCAUUCAAGUUCGUGUAUGCUAUAAAGCAACGAAUCUGAUCUAUCUAAAUAUCAUGAAUAGAGAAUCACAAACUGCACACCCACAAAUAUAGUAUUUACGACAAUUAUUCCAAGGGAAAACAAGCUUUAAUAAAAAAGGCUCGAUCAUAUUUAUCCUUCAAGUUCAAACAGAAUCACUAUAUCAACACAUGAACAAAUAAUCACUUCCUUUCAGAUUUGCCAUUCUAAUUCAUCACCACAGAACAAGCAUAUAUUUCCAACAUACGUGACCAAACUACACUUAUGAAAUGAGGCAAAGUAGCGUACGAAUAUUUUGCCAGGGUGUUUUUUGUGAAGGAGUAUAAAGUCCUAAUGUAUAAGAUUGUGCAAAACAAGGACCGGCGUGGUGGAUAUAUGAAUUCCUCUAAGGUUAGCUGAUGGAUGCAACUCCAAAAACCAAGCAUGCUUUAUUUUGAACAAAAGGUCCAUGCCAACUUUAUUAGACAGACAUCAAGACAAGUGGAUGAUAGUCAGACAUUCAUUGGAAAAUAACUGCCAGUAUGACAAGGCUUUUUGUCACUGGAAUUUAGUCUUUCAACUUUAUAAAGAUUGGCAUAUAAUUGUAUGCUGCUAACAAAUGGCCCAGUACAGCGGUAUAAAUAAUAAUGUCGUCAUCAAGUCUAGGUCCUAGAUUGUUUAAAUGGCAGUACUGUUCAUGAAACAGGCAACCCGCGGUUCAAUAAAGCAUCUAAUUUACAUUAAAUCUAAGAUCGGAUGUGAUUGAUCUCUCUAUAUCUUACGGCUGAGCUGAUCAUAAUUACAGAAAACAACAUCAAAUAAAUUUUUGGUCUAGAUCAAACACCACCAAACAAUCUUCAGCAAGGAUAGCUAGAAUGGAUUUUAUCUCCAGUAAUAUUGGAACAAUGACUGCAAACAGAGGAGAUGGACCAGGACUUGCAUUACCAGAAUAAUGCCGGUGUUGACCUGCUGCCCCGGUGACACGAUGCCAAUGUCAUUCAACACGUCGUGCUGGUGAUGGUUGGGAUGUUGACGGCAGCUGCCACAUCCAGGCCAUUGGUGACCCCCGGUGACACGAUGCCAAUGUCAUUCAACACGUCGUGCUGGUGAUGGUUGGGAUGUUGACGGCAGCUGCCACAUCCAGGCCAUUGGCGACGGGAUGAGAGGACGUGUGCGGCA